UGGGGAGCAUCAUGAAUACCUUGCUAUAUACUCGACUUGAUAUAAUCUUGCUGAGAGUGUUACGAGCAGAUAUCAGUCAAAUCCAGAUGUAUGAUACUUGAUAGCUGUGAAGAAUAUCUUUAAGUACUUAAAAAGCAUUAAGGAUUUGUUCUUAUUUUUUUGGAGGAGGAUUUGAGUAACAAGAUUUAAGAAUACAUAGAUUUAGAUUUUGC
rnacentral:lncRNA from 1 species